CUACGUGCCAGCAGCCGCGGUAAUACGGAAGGUCCGGGCGUUAUCCGGAUUUAUUGGGUUUAAAGGGAGCGUAGGCUGGAGAUUAAGUGUGUUGUGAAAUGUAGACGCUCAACGUCUGACUUGCAGCGCAUACUGGUUUCCUUGAGUACGCACAACGUUGGCGGAAUUCGUCGUGUAGCGGUGAAAUGCUUAGAUAUGACGAAGAACUCCGAUUGCGAAGGCAGCUGACGGGAGCGCAACUGACGCUGAAGCUCGAAGGUGCGGGUAUCGAACAGGAUUAGAUACCCUGGUAGUCCGCACAGUAAACGAUGGAUGCCCGCUGUUGGUACCUGGUAUCAGCGGCUAAGCGAAAGCAUUAAGCAUCCCACCUGGGGAGUACGCCGGCAACGGUGAAACUCAAAGGAAUUGACGGGGGCCCGCACAAGCGGUGGAGUAUGUGGUUUAAUUCGACGCAACGCGAAGAACCUUACCAGGUCUUGACAU
rnacentral:rRNA from 1 species